rnacentral:rRNA from 1 species
AGUUUGCGAUUAUGGCUCAGAUUGAACGCUGGCGGGAUGUGCUUUACACAUGCAAGUCGAACGGCUGCUUUACGGACUUCGGUCUGGUGAGUGGCGAACGGGUGAGUAAUGCUUAUCGGAACGUGCCUAAUGUGAGGGAUAACUACGCGAAAGCGUAGCUAAUACCGCAUACGCCCUUCGAAGCGGGGACCUUCGGGCCUCGCACUAAUGUAAGAGCGGCCGAUAUCGGAUUAGCUAGUUGGUGGGGUAACGCUCACCAAGGCGACGAUCCGUAGCUGGUUUGAGGAGGACGACCAGCCACACUGGGACUGGGCCACAGCCCAGACUCCUACAGGAGGCAGCAGUGGGGAAUUUUGGACGUGAAACCUGAUCCAGCCAUCCGCGUGUUGAUGAAGGCCUUCGGGUUGGCAAGCACUUUUGGCAGGGAAAAACGGCACGGGAUAAUACCCCGUGCAACUGACAGUACCUGCAGAAUAAGCACCGGCUAACUACGUGCCAGCAACCGCGGUAAUACGUAAGUGCAAGCGUUAAUCGGAAUUACUGGGCGUAAAGCGUGCGCGGUGGUUUCGGAAAGAAAGACCUUACAUUUUUAACUACCGAGCUAGAGUGUGUCAGAGGAGGUGGAAUUCCGCGUGUAGCAGUGAAAUGCGUAGAUAUGCGGAGGAACACCGGCGAAAACAGCCUCCUGGGAUAACACUGACGCUCAUGCACGAAAGCGUGGAGCAAACAGGAUUAGAUACCCUGGUAGUCCACGCCCUAAACGAUGUCAACUAGCUGUUGGGGCCUUCGGGCCAUGGUAGCGCAACUAACGCGUGAGAUUGACCGCCUGGGAAAUUACGGUCGCAAGAUUAAAACUCAAAGAGAUGGCGGGGACCCGCACCAAGCGGUGGAUGAUGUGGAUUAAUUCGAUGCAACGCGAAAAACCUUACCUACCCAUGACAUGUCUGGAAUCCCGAAGAGAUUUGGGAGUGCUCGCAAGAGAACCGGAACACAGGUGCUGCAUGGCUGUCGUCAGCUCUCGAUGUCGUGAGAUGUUGGGUUAAGUCCCGCAACGAGCGCAACCCUUGUCAUUAGUUGCUACGAAAGGGCACUCUAAUGAGACUGCCGGUGACAAACCGGAGGAAGGUGGGGAUGACGUCAAGUCUCUCAUAGCCCUUAUGGGUGGGGCUUCACACGUCAUACAAUGGUCGGGACAGAGAGGGUCGCCAACCCGCGAGGGGGAGCCAAUCCCAGAAACCCGAUCGUGGUCCGGAUCGCAGUCUGCAACUCGACUGCAGCAGUCCGGAAUCGCUAGUAAUCCGCGGAUCAGCAUAUCGCGGUGAAUACGUUCCAGGUCUUGUACACACCGCCCGUCACACCAUGUGGGGAGUGGGUUUUGCAAGUAGUUAGCUAACCAUGCAAGGAGGGCGAUUACCACGGUAAGUUCAUGACUGGGGUGAAGUCGUAACAAGGUAA